AAAGUUUUUCGGUCUGGGAUGGACUCGCGGCCUAUCAGCUUGUUGGUGAGGUAAUGGCUCACCAAGGCGACGACGGGUAGCCGGCCUGAGAGGGCGACCGGCCACACUGGAACUGAGACACGGUCCAGACUCCUACGGGAGGCAGCAGUGGGGAAUAUUGCACAAUGGGCGCAAGCCUGAUGCAGCGACGCCGCGUGGGGGAUGAAGGCCUUCGGGUUGUAAACCCCUUUCAGCAGGGAAGAAGCGAGAGUGACGGUACCUGCAGAAGAAGCGCCGGCUAACUACGUGCCAGCAGCCGCGGUAAUACGUAGGGCGCAAGCGUUGUCCGGAAUUAUUGGGCGUAAAGAGCUCGUAGGCGGUUUGUCGCGUCUGCUGUGAAAUCCCGAGGCUCAACCUCGGGCCUGCAGUGGGUACGGGCAGACUAGAGUGUGGUAGGGGAGACUGGAAUUCCUGGUGUAGCGGUGGAAUGCGCAGAUAUCAGGAGGAACACCGAUGGCGAAGGCAGGUCUCUGGGCCACAACUGACGCUGAGGAGCGAAAGCGUGGGGAGCGAACAGGAUUAGAUACCCUGGUAGUCCACGCCGUAAACGGUGGGCACUAGAUGUGGGGCUCUUUCCAUGAGUUCCGCGUCGCAGCUAACGCAUUAAGUGCCCCGCCUGGGGAGUACGGCCGCAAGGCUAAAACUCAAAGGAAUUGACGGGGGCCCGCACAAGCGGCGGAGCAUGCGGAUUAAUUCGAUGCAACGCGAAGAACCUUACCAAGGCUUGACAUAUACCCUCUAUCCCCAGAGAUGGGGAGUGCUUCGGCGGGGUAUACAGGUGGUGCAUGGUUGUCGUCAGCUCGUGUCGUGAGAUGUUGGGUUAAGUCCCGCAACGAGCGCAACCCUCGUCCUAUGUUGCCAGCACGUGAUGGUGGGGACUCAUAGGAGACUGCCGGGGUCAACUCGGAGGAAGGUGGGGAUGACGUCAAAUCAUCAUGCCCCUUAUGUCUUGGGCUUCACGCAUGCUACAAUGGCCGGUACAAUGGGCUGCGAUACCGUAAGGUGGAGCGAAUCCCAAAAAGCCGGUCUCAGUUCGGAUUGAGGUCUGCAACUCGACCUCAUGAAGUCGGAGUCGCUAGUAAUCGCAGAUCAGCAACGCUGCGGUGAAUACGUUCCCGGGCCUUGUACACACCGCCCGUCAAGUCACGAAAGUCGGUAACACCCGAAGCCAGUGGCCCAACUCUUAGGAGAGGGAGCUGUCUAAGGUGGGAUUGGCGAUUGGGACUAAGUCGUAACAAGGUAGCCGUACCGGAAGGUGCGGCUG
rnacentral:rRNA from 1 species